UCAACAAGAUCACUAGUAUAAAAGCAAGAAUAGCUAUCAAGAUCCAUUGAAAAUCAUUUUGUUUCCUCUAGAGAAAAUGUAAUACAUGAGUCAAAAUUAAUAGAAGUCGAUCGAAGUCUAGUUUUGAUAUUGACUUGAAAGAAAACCAUUCUUAUAACUAGAAUAUUAAUCCUCAAUUGUAGUAAAAAUUGUUUUGAUGGAAGAGUUGCACUGAUUAUAUUAAGAAUAGCUAUCUUGGUUGAAAUCUAAAAUAUCUUCCGCGAAUUCAACUACUGCUUUUCUGAAGCAUACACUAUUCUUCAUCCAAAAACUAAUAUACGCAAGCCAAAUACAGAUACGCUCUACUACGGCUGGCCGUUUGUUCCUGCGCAGAUUGUGGUUGUUCGGAGCGAAUGAUAGGGCUUGCGCAUGAUGCUAGUCUAGAUAGUUGGAACUAGUGGAAAGUGGAAAGUUUAUUGGCAGACAUUUUCGAAGUCGAAGAGAGCAGGAACAGUUUUUUAUAGUUUAGUGUUCAUAAUAUUUUUAGUGAUUUAUUAUUAUGGAGAAAAUUCUAGACGAAUGGGAAUUGGCCGAUUUGAUUCCAAUAUUCAAGGAGCAUGGAAUAACACCUGAUAAUAUAACAAAACUAACAGAAAGCCUAAUUAAGGAAUUGAUCCCUAAUAUCGAAAAAAGGAUGAAAUUCACUGAGAAGUGGAUUAAGAUAGUAGAGUCGUCGGUAUGUACUCAAGUAUGUUCACACAAUAGUUCAUGCAAUAGGUGAUACAAAUUUAGUACCUGUUCUAAUUUUAGGAAACAAAGAUAUAUUUUUUUAAUUUUUGUUAUACGUUUUUUUUAUGAUAAUAUAUUAUAUAUUUUUGACGAAUGUUAUAUGUUUAUGUUGAGAAAAUAAAAUGUGUUCAAUUUUUUCCUUUGUAAAUUCUGUUAUCACCCAAAAUUCCAUUUUCAGGUA